rnacentral:rRNA from 1 species
GAGGAAUAUUGGUCAAUGGACGGAAGUCUGAACCAGCCAAGUAGCGUGCAGGAUGACGGCCCUAUGGGUUGUAAACUGCUUUUGUAUGGGGAUAAAGUCAAUCACGUGUGAUUGUUUGCAGGUACCAUACGAAUAAGGACCGGCUAAUUCCGUGCCAGCAGCCGCGGUAAUACGGAAGGUUCGGGCGUUAUCCGGAUUUAUUGGGUUUAAAGGGAGCGUAGGCGGAUUGUUAAGUCAGCGGUUAAAGGGUGUGGCUCAACCAUGCAUUGCCGUUGAAACUGGCGAUCUUGAGUGCAGACAGGGAUGCCGGAAUUCGUGGUGUAGCGGUGAAAUGCUUAGAUAUCACGAAGAACUCCGAUCGCGAAGGCAGGUGUCCGGGCUGCAACUGACGCUGAGGCUCGAAAGUGUGGGUAUCAAACAGGAUUAGAUACCCUGGUAGUCCACACAGUAAACGAUGUAUACUCGCGGUUUGCGAUAGACAGUAAGCCGCCAAGCGAAAGCAUUAAGUAUACCACCUGGGGAGUACGCCGGCAACGGUG